AUUGAACGCUGGCGGCAGGCUUAACACAUGCAAGUCGAGCGGAGCGAGGGUGCUUGCACCUUAGCUUAGCGGCGGACGGGUGAGUAAUGCUUAGGAAUCUGCCUAUUAGUGGGGGACAACAUUCCGAAAGGAAUGCUAAUACCGCAUACGCCCUACGGGGGAAAGCAGGGGAUCUUCGGACCUUGCGCUAAUAGAUGAGCCUAAGUCGGAUUAGCUAGUUGGUGGGGUAAAGGCCUACCAAGGCGACGAUCUGUAGCGGGUCUGAGAGGAUGAUCCGCCACACUGGGACUGAGACACGGCCCAGACUCCUACGGGAGGCAGCAGUGGGGAAUAUUGGACAAUGGGCGGAAGCCUGAUCCAGCCAUGCCGCGUGUGUGAAGAAGGCCUUUUGGUUGUAAAGCACUUCAAGCGAGGAGGAGGCUACUAGUAUUAAUACUACUGGAUAGUGGACGUUACUCGCAGAAUAAGCACCGGCUAACUCUGUGCCAGCCGCCGCAGUAAAAC
rnacentral:rRNA from 1 species